rnacentral:rRNA from 1 species
AUACAGAGGGAGCAAGCGUUGUUCGGAAUUACUGGGCGUAAAGGGCGCGUAGGCGGUUCAGCAAGUCUUGUGUGAAAUCCCCCGGCUCAACUGGGGAACUGCAUAGGAAACUGCUGGACUUGAGUUCGGGAGAGGGAAGCGGAAUUCCGGGUGUAGCGGUGAAAUGCGUAGAUAUCCGGAGGAACACCGGUGGCGAAGGCGGCUUCCUGGACCGAUACUGACGCUGAGGCGCGAAAGCUAGGGUAGCAAACGGGAUUAGAUACCCCAGUAGUCC